AAACGCAGCGGCGCUUGAAAAAACGCCCGCGCCUCGCCAUAAUCGCCGACAUGGUUGUAAUUCCGGUGCUCUGGAGGCGUUUCGGACAGGGGUUCGAUUCCCCUCACCUCCACCCGAAACCAUGCCAAGCGUGAUUUCUGGUGGGGGUGUACUGGUUUCGACGGGGCGAGCGAAGGCGUGCAGGCAACCCGAAAGGCGACGGACGUAAUCCGCGCAAAACCACAAACGCCAACGAUGAGCGUUUUGCAAUGGCCGCUUGAGCCAUCGCCGGGGCCGCGUGAGCCUUGUUACCCAAGAAACGCCGCGGGAGCUUCGGCUCCCGUUGUUA
rnacentral:tmRNA from 1 species